AUGGCGGUGCCGGCGUGGAUGCGGAGGCAGAUGGACCAGAUUCUGGAGCUGGACAUGGAGGAGCUCGAGGUCGAAGAGGUCGACGACUCCGGCUCGUCCUCCUCCUCCGACGUCGCCACCUUCCUCAGAAAUACUCAUGGAGAUGGAGAGACUAGCACUUCUGGAGAGUUUACAUUCAAUCUGUCUCGGGCUUCCCUGACCACAUAUGUUGGUGAGGUUGAUGAUACCCGGGGCAGAUUUGCUUUCUUGGAUGGUGGUGCAGUCCUCAGUUUACCUAUGCUUUCUCUUCAAGGAUUUGUUUUGUUUCCUGAAGCUACCCUGACUCUUAGAGUAACUCAACCUAGAUUUGCAGCAGCUGUUGACAAGGCUAUUAAUCAUGUUGAUAAUCCAUGCAUGAUAGGUGUGGUUCAUGUCUACGGACAUGUAAAUGAUGGGCAUCAUGCUAUUGCUUCAGUUGGCACAACAGCGGAGAUACUUGAAAUUAGGCGAUUGGAUGAUGGCUCGUCAAAUGUUAUCACUCGAGGUCAGCAGCGGUUUCGCCUUAGGCGCAGUUGGGUCGACAUCGAUGAAGUACCAUGGGGUGAGGUCCAAAUAAUUGAAGAAGACACGCCUUUAAGAACUUCAAGGGAUGCAUUUGGACAGUUAGCUGCAAGUAAUACCUUCAAGAAAUGUGAUUCAUCAGUGCACAGUUUUGGUGUAUCUUGUUUCAAGCAAAAAGAUCUUAUGGAUUCUGAUCUUGAUUUGGAUUCUCUGUCAAACACUAGUACUUCAAGUGACCAUUCAGUAACAGAUACAGGAAUGUACUAUUCCUCAAAUGAAGAUGAAGAUCUCAUGCCUGAACUGUCUUGGCAGAAGCAUGGUUCUGUGAAUGAAUUUGGUGCAUUGAGUCAGCCAGUCAAGGAUACCACCAUCGAUGAUGAUCUUUGCUUUGCAUCCCCUGAAUCCUUAUCAACAGUGAGAGAGAAAGAUGCUGGGCAACAGAGACAAUACCGUGCUGCUUAUAAUUCAAAGAUGGCUCCAUUAUCAUUUUGGCCCCGAUGGGUUUACAAUAUGUACGAUUCAUAUUCACUUGCACGCAAGGCUGCAGAUUUGUGGAAUCAGAUAACUGCAGAGCCAGGCAUGGAUGAUUAUGUGAGAAAACCAGAUAUUUUGUCGUUUCUUAUUGGAAGCAAACUACCCGUGUCAGCGUCUAUGAGACAGGAAUUGCUUGACAUUGAUGGAAUAUCAUAUCGGUUGCUGCGAGAGAUUCAGCUACUCAAGGCCUUCAAUCUCGUACGAUGUAGAAAUUGCCUGGCUCUCAUAGCUAGACGGAGUGACAUGGUGAUACCGUCUAGUGUUGAUCAAUGUGGUGCUCAUGUCAUGCCGUUGUUGUACAAAGGUGCGCAGGAGGUGAUAACAGUGCACAACACGUCUGGGCUCGCACUCCAUGGCAAUCCUUCUGAUGCUCACAGCUGGUUCCCAGGAUAUACGUGGACGAUUGCGCUGUGUGCUGCCUGCGAGUCCAACAUCGGCUGGCUGUUCAGGGCUGACAAAAGGAACCUUCUUCCAAAAUCCUUCUGGGGUGUCCGCAUUUCCCAAACUAAAGAUGGCACACAAUCGGCCAAGGAUCGAUCGUCCGUAUGA
rnacentral:rRNA from 1 species